CGUAGGGUGCAAGCGUUAAUCGGAAUUACUGGGCGUAAAGCGUGCGCAGGCGGUUAUAUAAGACAGUUGUGAAAUCCCCGGGCUCAACCUGGGAACUGCAUCUGUGACUGUAUAGCUAGAGUACGGUAGAGGGGGAUGGAAUUCCGCGUGUAGCAGUGAAAUGCGUAGAUAUGCGGAGGAACACCGAUGGCGAAGGCAAUCCCCUGGACCUGUACUGACGCUCAUGCACGAAAGCGUGGGAGCAAACAGGAUU
rnacentral:rRNA from 1 species